GACGAACGCUGGCGGCGUGCCUAAUACAUGCGAGUUGAGCGCUGAAGGUUGGUACUUGUACCAACUGGAUGAGCAGCGAACGGGUGAGUAACGCGUGGGGAAUCUGCCUUUGAGCGGGGGACAACAUUUGGAAACGAAUGCUAAUACCGCAUAAAAACUUUAAACACAAGUUUUAAGUUUGAAAGAUGCAAUUGCAUCACUCAAAGAUGAUCCCGCGUUGUAUUAGCUAGUUGGUGAGGUAAAGGCUCACCAAGGCGAUGAUACAUAGCCGACCUGAGAGGGUGAUCGGCCACAUUGGGACUGAGACACGGCCCAAACUCCUACGGGAGGCAGCAGUAGGGAAUCUUCGGCAAUGGACGAAAGUCUGACCGAGCAACGCCGCGUGAGUGAAGAAGGUUUUCGGAUCGUAAAACUCUGUUGGUGGAGAAGAACGUUGGUGAGAGUGGAAAGCUCAUCAAGUGACGGUAACUACCCAGAAAGGGACGGCUAACUACGUG
rnacentral:rRNA from 1 species